rnacentral:rRNA from 1 species
GAUGAACGCUGGCGGCGUGCCUAAUACAUGCAAGUCGAGCGAAUGGAUUAAGAGCUUGCUCUUAUGAAGUUAGCGGCGGACGGGUGAGUAACACGUGGGUAACCUGCCCAUAAGACUGGGAUAACUCCGGGAAACCGGGGCUAAUACCGGAUAACAUUUUGAACCGCAUGGUUCGAAAUUGAAAGGCGGCUUCGGCUGUCACUUAUGGAUGGACCCGCGUCGCAUUAGCCAGUUGGUGAGGUAACGGCUCACCAAGGCAACGAUGCGUAGCCGACCUGGGAGGGUGAUCGGCCACACUGGGACUGAGACACGGCCCAGACUCCUACGGGAGGCAGCAGUAGGGAAUCUUCCGCAAUGGACGAAAGUCUGACGGAGCAACGCCGCGUGAGUGAUAAAGGCUUUCGGGUCGUAAAACUCUGUUGUUAGGGAAGAACAAGUGCUAGUUGAAUAAGCUGGCACCUUGACGGUACCUAACCAGAAAGCCACGGCUAACUACGUGCCAGCCGCCGCAGUAA